CGGUUUAAGAACUUUUUUCGCCCCAAAGGGGGAUGGGAACCGCGCCCUUAUUUCUUAGGGGAGGCCGCCGGUGGGGAUUUCUCCACAAGGGGCGAAAGCCUGAUGGAACAACGCCGCGUUGUGAUGAAGGGUUUCGGCUCGUAAAACACUGUUGUAAGAGAAGAAUGACAUUGAGAGUAACUGUUCAAUGUGUGACGGUAUCUUACCAGAAAGGAACGGCUAAAUACGUGCCAGCAGCCGCGGUAAUACGUAUGUUCCAAGCGUUAUCCGGAUUUAUUGGGCGUAAAGCGAGCGCAGACGGUUAUUUAAGUCUGAAGUGAAAGCCCUCAGCUCAACUGAGGAAUUGCUUUGGAAACUGGAUGACUUGAGUGCAGUAGAGGAAAGUGGAACUCCAUGUGUAGCGGUGAAAUGCGUAGAUAUAUGGAAGAACACCAGUGGCGAAGGCGGCUUUCUGGACUGUAACUGACGUUGAGGCUCGAAAGUGUGGGUAGCAAACAGGAUUAGAUACCCUGGUAGUCCACACCGUAAACGAUGAGUGCUAGGUGUUUGAGGGUUUCCGCCCUUAAGUGCCGCAGCUAACGCAUUAAGCACUCCGCCUGGGGAGUACGACCGCAAGGUUGAAACUCAAAGGAAUUGACGGGGACCCGCACAAGCGGUGGAGCAUGUGGUUUAAUUCGAAGCAACGCGAAGAACCUUACCAGGUCUUGACAUCCCUUGACAACUCCAGAGAUGGAGCGUUCCCUUCGGGGACAAGGUGACAGGUGGUGCAUGGUUGUCGUCAGCUCGUGUCGUGAGAUGUUGGGUUAAGUCCCGCAACGAGCGCAACCCUUAUUACUAGUUGCCAGCAUUUAGUUGGGCACUCUAGUGAGACUGCCGGUGACAAACCGGAGGAAGGUGGGGAUGACGUCAAAUCAUCAUGCCCCUUAUGACCUGGGCUACACACGUGCUACAAUGGCGUAUACAACGAGUUGCCAACCCGCGAGGGUGAGCUAAUCUCUUAAAGUACGUCUCAGUUCGGAUUGUAGGCUGCAACUCGCCUACAUGAAGUCGGAAUCGCUAGUAAUCGCGGAUCAGCACGCCGCGGUGAAUACGUUCCCGGGUCUUGUACACACCGCCCGUCACACCAUGAGAGUUUGUAACACCCAAAGCCGGUGGGGUAACCUUCUUGAGCCAGCCGUCUAAAGCAACAAAAGUAUAACA
rnacentral:rRNA from 1 species